AUUCAACGACAAUUCGCGCGUCUGCAAACACUUCACGAUCGAACGGUUGCUUAUUGCGUUUGUUGCGGUAAUUAGCUUGUUAAUUAACUGGACGUUUGUAGCAUUAAAAAGAUUGCGAAACGGUGGAAUCGAAAGGCGUAGGUUUUGAAGAGACAUGACUAUAAAAUGUGAUGCGAGACGCUAUGAACGAAAGAUGCAUUGGAUCGAUAUAGUUGAAGAGAAGAGCGAAGAUCCUCUUCCAAAGAUGCUCGAGCAAC
rnacentral:misc_RNA from 1 species